rnacentral:rRNA from 1 species
GCAACUCGCCUACAUGAAUCGGAAUUGCUAGUAAUCGCGGAUCAGCAUGCCGCGGUGAAUACGUUCCCGGGCCUUGUACACACCGCCCGUCACACCAUGGGAGUCGGUAACACCCGAAGCCUGUAGUCUAACCGCAAGGGGGACGCAGUCGAAGGUGGGAUUGAUGACUGGGGUGAAGUCGUAACAAGGUAGC